UGUUCAUGGGUUCAAAGUCCAUUUAGAAAUUGCUGGCAGAGGGGAAGUAGCUGUUCCUGAAUUGCUGAGCUUGUGUCUUUACACUUCUGUACCUCCUUCCUGAUGGCAGCUUGUUUGUGAGUUUCAACAUGCUGUUUGGACAAUCUAAACGCUGACCCAGUUAGACUGGAAAGGCACGGUGUUGAGAGUCGGGUGAAGUGAGAUUGCUCCGGUUUCCGAGUUGAUUUGGAGAGGUUGAGAAUGGCUUCUCCGGCAGCAAGAUCUGGGCCCAGAGCGAUUCGCCAUACGGGGCCCAGUUCCCAGUGCGAGACACGGACAAUUUAAACGCUGGUCCGGAUAGUCUGGGAUCUCCUCUCUCCGCGAUGCUAAGGAUUUGAGACUGCCCCCAGGCGCUGUGCUUCCUGUCUGCGAAUGGUGGCCACUUCAUUAGCUACUGCCGAUGGACACAUUUCUUUGCUGUUAACUAACUGAUUACAGUUUCUGGAUCCUGCAAAGUUCCCAUUGGACUUACGACUGGUCCCUGUACCUCUUCACUGAAGAUGGCAAUGAGAAGAGGUCACAUCCCAGGUGACUGGGGUUCUCAAUGACGAAUGAUUCCAUCAUCAGAUGUCCUUGCGAAGAAAAUGUUCUGCCCUGAAGAACAAGAAAAAUUGUGCUGUGCUUUUUUAAAACUCAACCAUUUCGUGUUGGACAGCAGCUGUCUCUUUGUGCUGAAGAAGAGGCUGAAGGCAUUGUUGAUGUUACACAGCCAGAUUGGCAGCUUUGGAGUUUUCAACAUGCUUCCUACCUGGAAAAACAAAGUCACCAAGGUCACUCUAAAGCCAUUCUACUAAGUGGAAAGAUAAGUAUACCCUCCCUCUUUUGUACGUUUUACACAUUCAAUACGGUAGUGUAAUGCUUCACUGUACCAGCAAUCCAUGUCAAAUUCCUACUGCAGCCUGUAAGUUCUUCUUGUGUCUGUGUGUUUCCUCCAGGUUCUCUGGUUUCCUCCCACAGUCCAAAAACGGACCUGUUGGUAGGUUAAUUGGUCAUUGUGAAUUGUUCCGUGAUUAGGCUAGGGUUAAAUCAGGGGAUUCUUGGGUGGCGUGUCUUGAGGGGCCAGUAGGGCCUGUUCUGUCCGUGCUGUAUCACAAUAAAUGAAUGAAAAAUAAAUAAUAAACACAGUAAGGUACGCACAUGGAACCUGGUUCCAUUGAUCCAUUCAAUAAGUACCUGGAAGAGUAUUCUUUCUGUUGAGCCGUUCCCUGAAGUGUUGCUGCAAAGGUCACAACUGAAGGUUAAUAGCUAGAAGAAAUGAUUCAUAUGUCGUUCACAAAGACUGAUAAAGCUGUUCUAAUGGUGCAGAACUGUCUGUAACCAAGCAUAAGGAUGACUGACAAAGCUGUUCUAUUGCCAAACAAAUGGUGUAGAACGGUUUGUAAUCCAAAGGCCUUUCAAGUUCAAGUUUAAUAUUCAUUCAACCAUACAAAUGCAUACAGCUAAUCGAAGCAUCAUUCCUCUGGGGCCAAGGCUCAAAACAUAAUACAUCCCGUCACACACUAGUUACAACAGCACAUACAGUUACAAAAAAAAAUAUUAGCUCACAUCCCUGAGUGGCACGGUCUAAAGAUCGGUAGUGCAUGGGAUGUUGUCCCAGAGCCACAUUUCUACAAGAACAAGCGCACAGCAGUUCCUCGUCUCGCUCUGAUGCACUGCAAACGAAUGCAAUCUAGCCUGUCGUACAAUGGGCAAACACUGGAGAGCAGCACUGACGGGACGGGCCAGAUCCCAGCGUUCCUGCCGGGCCUCUGCUCUCUCCUACAUCGCCUUUGGACCAGAUCAGAUUGGACUUAAUUGGGAUGAGUAGUGUGCCUAAUGGUUUUUGACCGUGACAACUGAGUCACAGUAUCCUACAGCAAUGAAGGAGGCAAUUUGUCCCAUUAAACACAUAGAAGCCUCCAGAAAGACUUAAAAAGAAUGGAAUAUUUAUGACAUAGAUACAGUCCAUUUCAAUUCAUCACGUCUGGACUUGUUGGAGAAGAGCUAGCUCACCUCCCCUAACCUCCUAAAAGUCACUCAGGCCACUUCAGUUAAUUAUAAACAGAAUGAGAGUUUAUAUAACCUCACCCUUUCAGGCAGCGAGUUUCAGACACUCUCCUCCCGUGGAGUGAAAGAAGAUCUUCUCACCUCCUCCCCAAUCCUCCCACGUUUUAACUUUAUGCUCCAAGGUUUUUACGGCACAGUUAGAAAUUGAGAAAGAAAGCCAUUUUACUGUAAUCUUCUUCUUCAUUCCCACUGAGUUCAUGGAGGCUGAACACAGACUGGAGCAGGAGUUUCCCAACAUCGACCCAGAGGUCCAUGGACCCCAACUUGGGAACCCCCGGGUUAGAGGAAUAGCAUCUGGGUCAUCCACGACCUGACAGCAGGAACAUUGAAUUCCAGUUCAGAGUUAAUUUAUUAUCCAAGUACAGAUACGUCUCCAGUUCCUGGUAACCUGCUCCUCCUCUGUCUCUUUCAUUCUCCAUCUGAUCAACUCCCCCUCCUCCUGCCCCAGUGCACUUCACCCGGUUCCUUUCCCCUUUUCCUCCUCCACUCAUCACCUCCACUCCUCCCACUGACUUCCCUCCCCCACUGAUCCUAUCUGCCCUUCCCACCUACCUCAUUUGCUACCAUGCUCUACCUUGACUUCCCAUCAGAUUCCAUCACCUUCAUCCCUUUGUGCCUCCACAUAUCACCUCCCAAUAUGUCUAUUUUCACCCUUUUUGCCUCCUUCUGCCUAUCAACCCUCCUCACCAUGGAUCCACCUAUCUCCUGACAUCCCUUCCCCUCACCUCCUUAAACUUGCUCUCUCCCCUCUGCUCGUUUAGUCCAGAUGAAGAAUCUCAUCCCAAAAUGUCAACUCUCCAUUUCUCUCCACAGAAGCUGCCUGACCCGGUGAAUUCCUCUGGCAUUUCGUCUAUUGCUACAGAUCCCAGCAUCUGGAGUCUUUUGUGUCUUUAUUUGCAGCGUUGAAAAAGGCCAGUGAUAUGAUCCACGUCACAUUUCACGAGCUGAGAGUCCAAUUGGCCUCUGGUGGUGACUUAUCAGUUGUUCAGUAUUGAGCAUUACAGUAGGGUAGCGGUUAGUGUGAUGUUCUACCGCGCCUGUGGUCACCGAUCAGAGUUAAAUUCUGCUGCUGUCUGCAGCAGUUUGUGCGUUCUCCCUGUGAAGUGUGGAUUUCCUGUGGGAGCUCAUUCCUCAUUCCAAAGCCAUACAGUUUAGGGUUUGUAGGUUCUAGGCAUCCGGAGUAAAGUGACACUUGCAGGCUGCCUGCAGCACAUCCAUGGACUGUGUUGGCAGUUGACACAAGACAACGCGUUUCACUGUAUACUUCGAUGUUUUGAUGUCCGUGUGACAAAUAAAGUUAAUCCUCAACCUCCUGCCUGCACAGGAGAUCUGCCACUUACGAAUCUGCAGACUUGUGCAUUGAGCUAACCCUGAGAUCUCUCAGGCUAGAGUCCAACUACAUUGAGUCAAUGACUCUAUGCACUGUCAUAGAGACAUACAGCAUACCCAAAGACUAACAGGCCCUUCAAGCCCAUGCUGACCAAGAUACCUAUCUAAGCUAGCCACGGUCGCCUGUGACAAAGAAUUCUACAGAUUCACCACUCUCUGGCUAAAGAAGUUCCUCCUCAUCUUCAUUCUAAAAGAACGCCCCUCUAUUCUGAGGCUGUGUCCUCUAGACUUUGACUCUCCCACCAUAGGAAACAUCCUCUACACAUCCACUCUAUCAAGCCCUUUCACCAUUCAAUAGGUUUCAAUGAGGCCAUCCCUCAUUCUUCUGAAUUCCAGUGAAUACAGGCCCAAAGCCAUCAAACACUAUCUUUGUAUGACAAGCUAUUCAAUCCUGGAACCAUUUUCGUGAACCUCCUUUCACCCCUCUCCAGCGUCAGCUCAUCCUUUCUGAGAUAUGGGGCCCAAAUUUGCUCACAACACUCUAAGUGAGGCCUCACCUGUGCUUUAUAGAGUCUCAACAUUACAUCCUUGUUUUAGAGUUCUAGUCCUCUUGAAAUGAAUGCUAACAUUGCAUUUGCCUUCCCCACCACUGACUCAACCUGUAAACUAACCUUUAGGGAAUUCUGCACAAGGACUUCCAAGUUCCUUUGCACCUCAGUUUUUUGUACUUUAUUUCCAUUUAGAAAAUAGUCCACCCAUUCAUUUCUUCUACCAAAGUGCAUGAUCAAGUGCAGGUCUAAGUCCUACUGUAGCCUCUCUACUUCCUCAAAACUACCUGCCCCUCCACCUAUCUUCACAUCAUCUGCAGACUUUGCAACAAAGCCAUCAAUUGCAUCAUCCAAAUCAUUGACAGAAAAUGUAAAUGUAAUCGGUCCCAACACAGACCCUGUGGAACAUCGCUGUUCACUGGCAGCCAGCCAGAAAAGAAUCCCUUCUUUCCCUCUCUUUGCCUCCUGCCAAUCGACCAUUGUUUCAUCCAUGUUAGAAUCUUUCCUGUAACACCAUGGGCUUGUAGCUUGUUAAGCAGCCUCAUGUGAGGGACCUUGUCAAAGGCUCUCUGAAAAUCCACGUACACAACAUUAAGUGAUUCUUCUUUAAUUACCUUGCUUGUUAUUUCUUCAAAGAAUUUCAACAGAUUUGUCAGGCAAGGUUUUCCCUUGAGGAAACCAUGCUGACUAUGGCCUACUUUAUCAUGUGCCUUCAAGUACCCUGACACUCAUCCUUAAAAAUCAACUCCAACAUCUUCCCAACUGGAGUUCAGACUAACUGGCCUAUAAUUUAUUUUCUUUUGACUCCCUUUUUGAAGAGUGGAGUGAUAUUUGCAAUUUUCCAAUCUUCUGGAAGUAUUCCAGAGUCUAGUGAUUUUUGAAAGAUCAUUACUAAUGCCUCCACAAUAUCUUCAGCCACCUCUUUCAGAAACUCUGGGGUGUACACCAUCUGGUCCAAGUGACUUAUCUACCUUCAGACCUUUCAGUUUCCCAAGAACCUUCUCUCUAGUUAUGGUAACUUCACUCACUUCAUGCCCCCUAACACCUGGAACUUCCACCAUACUGCUAGUGUCUUCUACAGUGAAGACUGAUGUAAAAUACUUAUUCAGUUCAUUCACUAUUUCAUUCUCCCCCAUUACUACCUUUCCAGCAUCGUUUUCCAACAGUCCAAUAUCUACUUUCACCUUUCUUUUACACUUUAUGUAUCUGAAGAAACUUUUGAUAUCCUCUUUAAUAUUAUUGGCUAGCUUACUUUCAUAUUCCAUCUUUACCUUCUUGACAUUUUUAGUUGCCUUCUGUUG